GGCUAACGGCUGGCGGCGUGUCUUAGCCAUGCAAGUCGAGCGGACUUAUGGGGUAACUUAUAAGUCAGCGGCGGACGGCGGAGUAACACGUAGCUAACCUACCCUCUGGACGGGGAUAACCUACCGAAAGGUGGGCUAAUACCCGAUGUAGUCAUCCUGUAUAGGGGUGAUGAAAGGUGGGCUUCUGUUUACAAGCUCAUGCUGGAGGAGGGGGCUGCGGCCUAUCAGGUAGUUGGUAGGGUAAUAGCCUACCAAGCCGAUGACGGGUAGCCGGCCUGAGAGGGUGACCGGCCCGAGGGGCACUGAGAUACGGAUCCCACUCCUACGGGAGGCAGCAGGCUAGAAAUUUGGGCAAUGGGGGAAACCCUGACCCAGUGACGCCGCGUGCAGGAAGGAGCCCUUCGGGGUGUAAACUGCUGUCGUGUAGGGAGAAGGGUACUAAGGUGAACAAUCUUAGUACUUGACGGUACUACAGGAGGAAGCCCAGGCUAACCUCGUG
rnacentral:rRNA from 1 species